rnacentral:rRNA from 1 species
UACGGGGGGGGCAAGCGUUGUUCGGAAUUACUGGGCGUAAAGGGCUCGUAGGCGGCCAACUAAGUCGGAUGUGAAAUCCCCAGGCUUAACCUGGGAACUGCAUCCGAUACUGGAUGGCUUGAAUCCGGGAGAGGGAUGCAGAAUUCCAGGUGUAGCGGUGAAAUGCGUAGAUAUCUGGAGGAAUACCGGUGGCGAAGGCGGCAUCCUGGACCGGCAUUGACGCUGAUGAGCGAAAAGCUAGGGGAGCAAACGGG